UUUUCUCAAAGAAAAAUUAAAUUUCAAGUCUUCCAGAGUCGCGGUCAAAGCCGAUUCCAAAGGCCGCUGUUCUCCGGCAGCAGCAGCCAUCUUAUUUUUUUUUUUUUUCUCAAGGAGCAGGGAAUUCACGCAGAACCGUUGCAACUCUGCCGUCAUUAUGUAAAGCCCGCCCACAAACGCUAUACACGAUGUGAUUGGCCUGACCAGAAUUUGUUUUUUCCAACUUGCA